GAUGGAUCCGCGGUGCAUUAGUUAGUUGGCGGGGUAAAGGCCUACCAAGACAAUGAUGCAUAGCCGAGUUGAGAGACUGAUCGGCCACAUUGGGACUGAGACACGGCCCAAACUCCUACGGGAGGCUGCACUAGGGAAUCUUCCACAAUGGGCGAAAGCCUGAUGGAGCAACGCCGCGUGUGUGAUGAAGGCUUUCGGGUCGUAAAGCACUGUUAUAUGGGAAGAACAGCUAGAGUAGGGAAUGACUUUAGUUUGACGGUACCAUACCAGAAAGGGACGGCUAAAUACGUGCCAGCAGCCGCGGUAAUACGUAGGGCGCGAGCGUUGUCCGGAAUUAUUGGGCGUAAAGAGCUCGUAGGCGGCUGGUCGCGUCUGUCGUGAAAUCCUCUGGCUUAACUGGGGGCUUGCGGUGGGUACGGGCCGGCUUGAGUGCGGUAGGGGAGACUGGAAUUCCUGGUGUAGCGGUGGAAUGCGCAGAUAUCAGGAGGAACACCGGUGGCGAAGGCGGGUCUCUGGGCCGUUACUGACGCUGAGGAGCGAAAGCGUGGGGAGCGAACAGGAUUAGAUACCCUGGUAGUCCACGCCGUAAACGUUGGGCACUAGGGUGUGGGGGGGGCCCUUUUCCGGGUCUUUCCGAGCCGUAGCUAACGCAUUAAAGUGCCCCGCCUGGGGAGUACGGCCGCAAGGCUAAAACUCAAAGGAAAUUGACGGGGGCCCGCACAAGCGGCGGAGCAUGCGGAUUAAUUCGGUGCAACGCGAAGAACCUUACCAAGGCUUGACAUGAGGGCGGUCGCCCCGGAGACGGGGCCUCCCUUUUUUGGGCGCUCUUACAGGUGGUGCAUGGUUGUCGUCAGCUCGUGUCGUGAGAUGUUGGGUUAAGUCCCGCAACGAGCGCAACCCUUGUCCUGUGUUGCCAGCACGUCGUGGUGGGGACUCGCGGGAGACUGCCGGGGUCAACUCGGAGGAAGGUGGGGAUGACGUCAAAUCAUCAUGCCCCUUAUGUCUUGGGCUUCACGCAUGCUACAAUGGCCGGUACAGAGGGCUGCGAUGCCGUGAGGCGGAGCGAAUCCCUUAAAGCCGGUCUCAGUUCGGAUCGGUGUCUGCAACUCGACACCGUGAAGUUGGAGUCGCUAGUAAUCGCAGAUCAGCAACGCUGCGGUGAAUACGUUCUCGGGCCUUGUACACACCGCCCGUCA
rnacentral:rRNA from 1 species